UUUCUUGCUAAAUAGCCUGGGGACCUUGCUGCUCAUCUUUGUGCUCACUGGAGAACUUGAAGAGGUUGGGGUGGAAACGUCUGCUGGUGUAGAACUCGGUCUCCGUGGGGCUUCUGAUUCUUGCUGAAAUGUUCAUAAAUUAAAGCUUUUCCUGAAACCUG